UACGUAGGGCGCAAGCGUUAUCCGGAAUCACUGGGCGUAAAGCGUCUGUAGGUGGUUUAAUAAGUCAACUGUUAAAUCUUGAGGCUCAACCUCAAAAUCGCAGUCGAAACUAUUAGGCUAGAGUAUAGUAGGGGUAAAGGGAAUUUCCAGUGGAGCGGUGAAAUGCGUAGAGAUUGGAAAGAACACCGAUGGCGAAGGCACUUUACUGGGCUAUUACUAACACUCAGAGACGAAAGCUAGGGUAGCAAAUGGG
rnacentral:rRNA from 1 species